UACGUAGGGGGCAAGCGUUAUCCGGAUUUACUGGGCGUAAAGCGCGUUAAGGCGGCCGGCUAAGUUGGUGGUGAAAUUCCAGGGCUCAACCCUGGAACUGCCUCCAAUACUGGUCGGCUCGAGUGCGAGAGAGGAAGGUGGAAUUCCCGGUGUAGUAGUGAAAUGCGUAGAGAUCCGGAGGAACACCAAAGGCGAAGGCAGUGUCCUGGGGAGUACCUGACGCUCAGGUGCGAAAGCCAGGGGAGCGAACGGG
rnacentral:rRNA from 1 species